ACAACGGGAAGCGAAGGAGCGAUCUGGAGCCAAUCCUAAAAAGCCGGUCUCAGUUCGGAUUGCAGGCUGCAACUCGCCUGCAUGAAGUCGGAAUUGCUAGUAAUCGCGGAUCAGCAUGCCGCGGUGAAUACGUUCCCGGGUCUUGUACACACCGCCCGUCACACCACGAGAGUUUACAACACCCGAAGUCGGUGGGGUAACCCUUACGGGAGCCAGCCGCCGAAGGUGGGGUAGAUGAUUGGGGUGAAGUCGUAACAAGGUAGCCGUAUCGGAAGGUGCGGCUGGAUCACCUCCUUUCUAUGGAGA
rnacentral:rRNA from 1 species